rnacentral:lncRNA from 1 species
CUAACAGGAGCCAGCCUGUGCUGAGGAGGCCUGAGGAGGACGUUGGGACUCAUCUACGCCGAUGAGCUGCAGCCUCCUCAGGACCCGCGGAGAGUCUUCAGGGGGAAAUUGGGCUGCGUUCACGCUGACAGGACCCACGGUCUCCUCAGGACCUGCGGUGAGGCUUUAGGAAGAUGUGGGCCCGCAUCCACACUGACAGGAGCCCUGAGCCACCUCAGGAACCGCGGGGAGGCUUAGGAAAUUGUGGGCCCGCAUCCAUGCUGACAGGAGCCCCUGAGCCACCUCAGGACCUGCGGGGAGGCUUCAGGAAGAUGUGCCGCGUCCACUCUGGCAGGAGCUCCUGGGCCCCUCAGGACAUAAGUUGAGGCUUCUGGAAGCUGGGGCCGCAUUCAUGGUUACAGGAGCCCCGGCCUCCUCAGAACACUCGGUGACGUUUCGGGAGGAAUUGGGGCCACAUAGACACAACAGGACGCUGACUUCCUCAGGAUCACUGGUGUAGAUUUGGGGAAAUAUGGGGAUGCGUCCAUGCGGACAGAAAACCCCAGGCUUGUCAGGGCCUGUGGUGAGGCCUAAGAAAAAUGUGGGUGCCGCAUCCACACUGACAGGAGUCUCCAGCCUCCUCAGGACCCACUGUGAAGGUUUUGGAAGAUUUGGGGCCAUAUCCAUGCUGACAGGAGCCCCCAGCCUCCUCAGGAUGCGCGGAGACCCGGCGUACUCAGGACCCGCUGACUAUGACUCUGGAACACGUGGGGCCACGUGCGCACUCACAGGAGCCCAGCUUCCUCAGGACCCCCUAGGGGACUCUGGAGGGCCUUUGGGGGGCCCCGUCCACCUCAGAAGGGACUACUCAGAACCACAGGGUAAGUGAAUGGGUAGAAUGAAUGAUAGGAUCAGGGGAGGGGAGUCAGUUGGUGGUUAGGCUUAGGUUAGAUGUUAGGGGUUAGUGAUUAUGCUUAUGGUUACGGAUUAG